AUUGAACGCUGGCGGCAUGCCUUACACAUGCAAGUCGAACGGUAACAGGUCUUCGGAUGCUGACGAGUGGCGAACGGGUGAGUAAUACAUCGGAACGUGCCUAGUAGUGGGGGAUAACUACUCGAAAGAGUGGCUAACACCGCAUGAGAUCUACGGAUGAAAGCAGGGGAUCGCAAGACCUUGUGCUACUAGAGCGGCCGAUGGCAGAUUAGGUAGUUGGUGGGAUAAAAGCUUACCAAGCCGACGAUCUGUAGCUGGUCUGAGAGGACGAUCAGCCACACUGGGACUGAGACACGGCCCAGACUCCUACGGGAGGCAGCAGUGGGGAAUUUUGGACAAUGGGCGCAAGCCUGAUCCAGCAAUGCCGCGUGCAGGAUGAAGGCCUUCGGGUUGUAAACUGCUUUUGUACGGAACGAAAAGCCCUGGGUUAAUACCCUGGGGUCAUGACGGUACCGUAAGAGUAAGCACCGGCUAACUACGUGCCAGCCGCCGCUGUAAAAC
rnacentral:rRNA from 1 species